rnacentral:rRNA from 1 species
UACAGAGGGUGCAAGCGUUAAUCGGAAUUACUGGGCGUAAAGCGUGCGUAGACGGUUAUGUAAGUCGGGUGUGAAAGCCCCGGGCUCAACCUGGGAAUGCCAUUCGAGACUGCAUAGCUAGGGUGCGGAAGAGGGAAGCGGAAUUUCCGGUGUAGCGGUGAAAUGCAUAGAUAUGUCACAGAACACCAAUUGCGAAGGCAGCUUACUAUGGUUUUAUUGACACUGAGGCACGAAAGCGUGGGGAUCAAACAGG